GCCGAGACCAGAGUCUCACCCGGGCAUGGCGUUGCCCCGGCGUGCUGGGGGCCUCGGAGAGCAGCUGCUGGCCUAUUCGCCGGCCGGGGCCCCAUGGCCGGGCCGGUCUCCAGGCCAGGGACAGGC
rnacentral:snoRNA from 1 species